GUCUGCAUGGAGCCGACCUUGAAAUACCACCCUUUAAUGUUUGAUGUUCUAACGUGGACCCGUAAUCCGGGUUGCGGACAGUGUCUGGUGGGUAGUUUGACUGGGGCGGUCUCCUCCUAAAGAGUAACGGAGGAGCACGAAGGUUGGCUAAUCCUGGUCGGACAUCAGGAGGUUAGUGCAAUGGCAUAAGCCAGCUUGACUGCGAGCGUGACGGCGCGAGCAGGUGCGAAAGCAGGUCAUAGUGAUCCGGUGGUUCUGAAUGGAAGGGCCAUCGCUCAACGGAUAAAAGGUACUCCGGGGAUAACAGGCUGAUACCGCCCAAGAGUUCAUAUCGACGGCGGUGUUUGGCACCUCGAUGUCGGCUCAUCACAUCCUGGGGCUGAAGUAGAUCCCAAGGGUAUGGCUGUUCGCCAUUUAAAGUGGUACGCGAGCUGGGUUUAGAACGUCGUGAGACAGUUCGGUCCCUAUCUGCCGUGGGCGCUGGAGAACUGAGGGGGGCUGCUCCUAGUACGAGAGGACCGGAGUGGACGCAUCACUGGUGUUCGGGUUGUCAUGCCAAUGGCACUGCCCGGUAGCUAAAUGCGGAAGAGAUAAGUGCUGAAAGCAUCUAAGCACGAAACUUGCCCCGAGAUGAGUUCUCCCUGAGACUUUAAGUCUCCUGAAGGAACGUUGAAGACGACGACGUUGAUAGGCCGGGUGUGUAAGCGCAGCGAUGCGUUGAGCUAACCGGUACUAAUGAACCGUGAGGCUUAACCUUACAACGCCGAAG
rnacentral:rRNA from 1 species